UACAUGGGGUGCAAACGUUGCUCGGAAUUAUUGGGCGUAAAGCGCGCGUAGGCGGUUACUCAAGUCGGAUGUGAAAGCCCUCGGCUUAACUGAGGAAGUGCACCCGAAACUGAGUAGCUAGAGUACCAAAGAGGGUCGCGGAAUUCCAGGUGGAGCGGUGAAAUGCGUAGAGAUCUGGAAGAACACCAAAGGCGAAGGCAGCGUCCUGGGAAGCAUCUGACGCUCAGGUGCGAAAGCUAGGGGAGCGAACGGG
rnacentral:rRNA from 1 species